UUGCUCCUCGGGUGACGAGUGGCGGACGGGUGAGUAAUGUCUGGGGAUCUGCCCGAUAGAGGGGGAUAACCACUGGAAACGGUGGCUAAUACCGCAUAACGUCGCAAGACCAAAGAGGGGGACCUUCGGGCCUCUCACUAUCGGAUGAACCCAGAUGGGAUUAGCUAGUAGGCGGGGUAACGGCCCACCUAGGCGACGAUCCCUAGCUGGUCUGAGAGGAUGACCAGCCACACUGGAACUGAGACACGGUCCAGACUCCUACGGGAGGCAGCAGUGGGGAAUAUUGCACAAUGGGCGCAAGCCUGAUGCAGCCAUGCCGCGUGUAUGAAGAAGGCCUUCGGGUUGUAAAGUACUUUCAGCGGGGAGGAAGGCAGUGAGGUUAAUAACCUUACUGAUUGACGUUACCCGCAGAAGAAGCACCGGCUAACUCCGUGCCAGCAGCCGCGGUAAUACGGAGGGUGCAAGCGUUAAUCGGAAUUACUGGGCGUAAAGCGCACGCAGGCGGUCUGUUAAGUCAGAUGUGAAAUCCCCGGGCUUAACCUGGGAACUGCAUUUGAAACUGGCAGGCUUGAGUCUCGUAGAGGGGGGUAGAAUUCCAGGUGUAGCGGUGAAAUGCGUAGAGAUCUGGAGGAAUACCGGUGGCGAAGGCGGCCCCCUGGACGAAGACUGACGCUCAGGUGCGAAAGCGUG
rnacentral:rRNA from 1 species